rnacentral:rRNA from 1 species
CCUGCGCAGGCUACCAUGCAGUCGACGGAUGAAAGGAGCUUGCUCCUGGAUUCAGCGGCGGACGGGUGAGUAAUGCCUAGGAAUCUGCCUGGUAGUGGGGGACAACGUUUCGAAAGGAACGCUAAUACCGCAUACGUCCUACGGGAGAAAGCAGGGGACCUUCGGGCCUUGCGCUAUCAGAUGAGCCUAGGUCGGAUUAGCUAGUUGGUGAGGUAAUGGCUCACCAAGGCGACGAUCCGUAACUGGUCUGAGAGGAUGAUCAGUCACACUGGAACUGAGACACGGUCCAGACUCCUACGGGAGGCAGCAGUGGGGAAUAUUGGACAAUGGGCGAAAGCCUGAUCCAGCCAUGCCGCGUGUGUGAAGAAGGUCUUCGGAUUGUAAAGCACUUUAAUUGGGAGGAAAGGUUGUANAUUAUACUCUGCAAUUUUGACGUUCCGACAGAAUAACACCGGCUACUCUGUGCCACAGCCGCGGUAUCAGAGGUGCAACGUUAUCGGAUUACUGGGCGUAAACGCCCUAGGGGGUUGUAAUUGGAUGGAAUCCCGGCUCACUGGGACGCAUC